rnacentral:rRNA from 1 species
AUUGAACGCUGGCGGCAGGCUUAACACAUGCAAGUCGACCGAGUGGAGGACGGGUGAGUAAUGCUUGGGAAUCUAGAUUAUGGAGGGGGGUAACUACGGGAAACUGUAGUAACUACCGCGUACAAUAGGAUGAGCACGAGUGGGAUUGUGUCGUUGGUGAGGUAAAGUCUCACCAAGCCGACGAUCUAGCGCUGGUCUGAGAGGAUGACCAGCCACGUGUGGCUUUCGACACGGCCCAGACUCCUACGAGAGGCAGCAGUGUGUAAUAGUGCGCAAUGGGGGCAACCUGACGCAGCCAGUCCGCGUGAAGUAAGAAGGCCUUCGGGUGGUAAAGUGCUUUCGGUAGCGAGGCGGUAACUAUAGAAGAAGCACCGGCUAACUCCGUGCCAGCAGCCGCGGUAAUAC